CCCGGGAUGGCUUGGGAGCAGCGGAAAAGCAGCUGUGAUCCUGCAGCGGGCAGCUUCGGACAGCGAUAUUUUUUGGCAGGGCCUGGAAAACCUACUGAAUCAACAGCUCUACAGAUGGGCAACAUCCAGGUCUGAAACAAGGAGUGAAAGAAGUGGUCCAGCCAACUUGGAGAGGGACUUUAAUGGGAAACUGUCCUUGGACCAAUUUGCUCCGAGAUAGAAUUUGAACUAAUGCCACCUAAUGGAGAGUGGGAAUCACUGCGGCGGAAGAAAAGUUGAAGUUUAGGGUCGGUUCAGGGGAGCUGAGUGGUGGUUCCCCCCUGGGCUCUCUUUGGAAGGUAUGGAGAAAGCAAAAGGUGAAAGUUGAAAAAGAAAAAGUGGAGAACAAAAGUUUUCCCUAAGAAAAGGAGUAUUUUGAUUCAUUGGUGAUUUUACUGUUCAGCCUGCCAGACUGUAUGAAAGAGGGAACAGGAAUGACCAUCAAAUCAAAGAGGGGAUGGGGAUUUGAAAACUUCAUUGUUAUUGUGGCUAGAAGAGAAAAUGGCACAACAUGAAUCCAUUCUAGGGGCAAUGAUUGUAAAUGAGAAAGGGAAUGGCACAAAGGUAACCCUUUCCAGUCCUAACAAGGUACACUUGUGUGGUCC
rnacentral:lncRNA from 12 species